AUCCUGACUGUGCUAAGGUAGCAUAAUAAUUUGUCUUUUAAUUGAAGACUGGAAUAAAUGAGUUGACGAAGAGAAAACUGUCUCCCUUAGGAUAUUUUAAUUUGCCUUUAAGGUUAAAAGGCCUUAUUCCCCCAAAGGGACGACAAGACCCUAAAAACUUUAUUCCUUACUAUUUAAUAAGAAUAUAAAAAAAAAGGAAUUUUACUGGGGCGGUAAAUUUUAACAAAAUUAUUUUUAACACUUUGUGUGAUUUAAAAGUACAUGUAUACAUACAAAGAAAUAGUUACUUUAGGGAUAACAGCGCAAUUUUCCCAGAGAGUUCUAAUCGGCGGGAAAGAUUACGACCUCGAUGUUGAAUUGAGAAUCCUACUGUAGAGCAGAAGCACAGGAAGGGAGUCUGUUCGACUCUUAAAUUUUCACAUGAUCUGAGUUCAAACCGG
rnacentral:rRNA from 1 species